UAAGUAGUAACCUUGCCUUCAUAUUUAGUGUGUGGUCUUGACAAAUAUGACAAGGGCUACAGGAAUAGCUUCAUCUAAUAAAGUGGAAAAUUCUCAGGGAACUACUCAGUUCAAGUGUGAAUUUUACAAGCUGUGUAAAAGUAGAUCAAAAUAAUAGCAAAUAAUCUAUAUCUGUUUUUUUGCAGUACUUCCUUGGGCCAAAUCAUAAGCUAAAAACUGUCAAGACAUGCAUCAUGAAGAAUCAUUAGACAAGAGCUGAUUUUUUGACAGUGCUGUAAGGAAACUGCCUACGGCUCCUUUCCCAGGAUAAUAAGUGUAUCUCCAGGACCUGGUAUACUUGUUAUGCGUUCUGGAUCCCUACAUGGUAUUUAAGUCAGAGCAAGAGAACAAGGGCUGUGGAAAACAAGUGGACUUCAGAUUUGGCCUAAUGGCAGGUAGAGAAGAAAAGCUGUUGGCAUGUGAAGAUCUGAGAAAAUAUGUGGUGAGGAGAAGUUCUCACAUUUUCUGAAAACAGCUGGAAACUAUUAAACUAGCUAUGAGAUACCAUAAUGUAGAAGCAGUUUGAAAUAGUCCAUAUUAGAGGCAUUCUGAAAUCAGUCAUUGCUUGUCAGUUAGCUGUUGAUAUCUGAAGUUGUCUUCCGGUGAAAGGUAAUUGCCAUUCAACACGCUGGCUGUUUUACUUCUGCUUCUGCUGUAUUAUUGGCAAGUCACAAAAUGGCAUUAAUACACAGAAAAUUAAUAAUAGUGACAUCAGAAAUGAUCAGAAAAUCUACAAAUUGAAUGACAAUAAGAACAUUAAAGUUCACAAGCUAGUGGAGGUGGAAUACAUUGAAAGUUUACUUUGUUUAAAGAGGGAUAUUAGGUAUAAUCGUUUUGCUCUUUAAAAAUCAAUACUCUAAAUACCACAAGUUUUGCAGUCAGUUUGCUUGGGUGGAAUCAGUGGAAAUUGAACACAAUUCUCAGAAAUGCUUUUAGUAGGUGAUAGCUGGUGUAGGAGGAAAAAUUGUGGUGGGAAAAUGUUACAGAGAAAAAAAGAUGUUGUUUAAGGCUGAAAGCAAUUCACUCUUAAAAGAAAUUUGCAUUUCAUAACACGUCUUCACUAGUACAUGACAUGCUAUGCUUCAUCUACUUUGUAGAUCAACUCUGCAUUAUUUUGGUCAAUGAGCUAGUUGGAGCAGGUGAAAACCGGGUAGUCAAAGUGAGGAAAUUAAAUUAUUUAUUUGUCUGACUUUAUAUUAUAAUUUUAAAAGUGAUUUCACCCUUAUAGCUUUGUAGAAGACAGAAAUGUUCUUUUAAAAUAUGUACUGCUGAUUUUCAAAAUGGUAAAGCUUUGGCAGCAAAGGUACUAAGUGGCACUGAUUUAAACAUCUUGGGGACUAUUAUAUUCAUUUAAAACUUUGAAUAAGAGAGUAUUUUUCUUAAAUAAAAUUCUAUCACUCUCAAGUACACUUGAUGCUACUGUUUGUUCUUUCACUUAUUUAACACAUUUUUGCAUCUACAUGCCAGGCACUUUUCUAAAUGCUAGGAAUAUAGCAGUGAACAAAACAGAGAAAACUGGGCUUGUAUUCUAGUGGAGAAAGACAAAAACAAACAGUUGAAAUAUGAAAUACAAUGUAAAAUUGUAAAUAUUAAACAAAUUUGCUUAAUAGGGAUCCUUAGAGGAGCUGCCUUAGUAAGUAGCUAAUGAUCUGUAAUUUUCAUAUCCAUUUGCAUAUGUUAUUGGUGAACAACAGGCUGUUUCUAAUAGUUGGUAGAUAAGAAAUACAUAUAUGCAUUUUGAAAUUUUGUCUAUGUUAUUUUGUAUACCAACCUUUUUUUCAAAUGAUCGGAUUUUCACAUUAUUACCCAUCAGUCUAUAGAAUAUAUAUUUGUCUUUUGUUUCAUGGUAUAUUAAGGAAAAAUCUUAACUUUCAACCUUUCCAUUAGAUCAAAGGUGAAAUCUUUAAAACAUGUAAAGAGUUUCUUCAGCUUGCUAAAGAAAGAAGAAAUAAAGGCAAAUGUAAUUUAGACAAGUCUUUGGAAGAUACAUAUUAUUACUGUGAUUAGAAAAGACAAAACUUACUGCUUCUGUUGACUUUUAAUUAGAGGCCAGAAGAGAAUACUCUUCAUGUACAAAUAAACUUUUAAAGUCUU